UGCUUACAAUGUAAUUGUUUAUUUCUGGUUCCAAAAACACAAUAUUUAACUGUUGAAAUGUUUACAUGUUUUGUCCUCAAUCACACAAUUUAUUGAUCAUAAUGCAUAGAAAAUGGAGGAGGCAUACAACCAACGUAUUAGGCUACUCGUUUACAGCAAGGUCAUUUCACACUGCUAACAUAAUUGUUUGUUAAAUAAUCCCCACUGUGAAAUAGAAACAACCUGGUCUUCUUUAGAAAAGCAACGUGCAUUAAAUCGGGAAUAUGUGGAUUUUGGAUUAACAAAGGCCAUAAACAAAGUUUUUCAGAAGCCUAUGCUGAAGUUAAAAUGAAGUUAAAAUCAACUAUUUCCUAAAUCAUUGUAAAUAUCGAUACAUAAACUCGUAUGCUUUCGGAUUCGUUAAUAGUGACGGAUUAAAUGCAUUAUACAUUUCACUGAACCCUUACUAGGUUCAUUGCAUUAUUCGGCUCGUAGUUCUGCAUCAGCAAUGACCAACUGCUACAUGUCCAUAAUCGAAACUCACCUUGAAAUAAUAGAUAACACUCAGAACAAAAAAUAAAUCCGCGUUGGUGCUUUAAAAUAGGCUAUGUGCAACACGCCUUAUUGGUUGAACUUUUAUGCAGAACAUUUAUAACACGUAAAUUGCCUCAAUGCAUACACAGAAAAAGUGAAGUCUAUUCAUGCGUAAUAAACAAAUAUAAAUUGGAAAGACAGCAGAAAUCAAGCUAUAGAAUCAUCCUUCUUUCUACACAAACAUAUGCAUGAUGUUCACAAAAGUGAAAAUGAUUUGUCCGUGUGACGAGAGCAACAGUCCGUAAAGUAGCAGGGCCAUUUCUUGCACAACAAGCAUUAGGCCUAUUGAUUGCCAUUCCCCGAAGGAGGAACAAAACACAAUAGUAGUUCAACGGCCAGAGGGAAAAAACUGACUUCGUGGAUGCAGUUUCUUCGAAGGUAAAACGGACUUGGAUAAAAUGCUGCACGAAAACAGCGAUUUCUUUCAAAUUUCACAUCUUAACGUCUCCCACUUGUCGUGAAUGAAGCUUGUGCGCACAACUCGGUCUCUAUACUGAGCUCCCUCUGUAGCCAUGAGCAGUGCUAGAGCGCCCACUAUUUCAAAAACUAGGAAUAUUAUUUCACAAGACUUGGAAGAACUUAAUAAAAAAGUUACUAUCCCUUUCGACAACUUUUUUGUUAACUUUCGGGUAACGAUUCUUCGCCGUGUCUAACCUCCGAGAACAGAAAACAAAACUACUCCCCGGCGCAGUUUGUACGGUAAUGUUUUUUCUCUCCCAUAUCUUUUAUACAAAACCACCAGCAGUGUUUCUCAGCAUAUAUGAAAGUUCUGACGUUGUGAACAAGCGAACACAAGGCUGCAACCGCGAAAAGGCUGGACACACGGACUAGGGUGUUUUAUCGUUACUAUUCACAAGAAGAGCGAAAUUAUCUACGAGGACAAAGACGCGUCCGACUAAGGAACUGACAAAUGACAAGGACACAUUGGUGACCGGCACGAGAGUUCGAGCCGCCGACCGAAAGCGUAAGAAGGGAAAAAGACCUACUUUUGGCCAGUUUUCUCGCCCUCGCCUUGGAUCUCAUCUUGUCGGCUUGUAGAUUCCUCUCGUCCUCCGUGAGCCCAGAAGCAGCAACAACACUAUCUUCAUCUCACAAGCAUUGUCAGUUUGGACACCUUCGCACAUGCGCACAGGCCAUUCAAUCUGACACCCUCAUCAGGGCCAAAAAACUUUGCAAUGUAUUCAUCAUCACUUUUUGUCCUAUCGUCUCCCCUUUAGAUCACUUAUCUCUUCCCCUCCUCCCUCUCAGCACCAUCUCGGACCCCCUCCCCCCCUCCCCUCCCCCUACCACCGCCUUUGCCACCACCACCUUCUUGACUACCCCUUUAAGAGCAAUAACUUAUUUUUCGCAAACCUGUGGGAUCCGGACUAGCAAUGGAUACAGCAUGGUAUGUGAUGGGGUCAAGGUCGCAUCCCUCAACUGCAAGCACCCCAUCCGGGAUUCGAACCAACCCAGCUCCAACUCCUGCCACAGGAUCAAACACCUUAGCCGCUGGGUUACCUACUGCCAGGAGGAAGGAAGUGUGGGAUGGAGGAAGUGGUACUCACUAAGCAAGCAGCGAGACGUCCUUUACAGUGGUGCCAUGACCCGGAUC
ensembl:lncRNA